rnacentral:rRNA from 1 species
GAUGAACGCUGGCGGCGUGCCUAAUACAUGCAAGUCGAGCGAACGGACGAGAAGCUUGCUUCUCUGAUGUUAGCGGCGGACGGGUGAGUAACACGUGGAUAACCUACCUAUAAGACUGGGAUAACUUCGGGAAACCGGAGCUAAUACCGGAUGAUAUUUUGAACCGCAUGGUUCAAAAGUGAAAGACGGUCUUGCUGUCACUUAUAGAUGGAUCCGCGCUGCAUUAGCUAGUUGGUAAGGUAACGGCUUACCAAGGCAACGAUGCGUAGCCGACCUGAGAGGGUGAUCGGCCACACUGGAACUGAGACACGGUCCAGACUCCUACGGGAGGCAGCAGUAGGGAAUCUUCCGCAAUGGGCGAAAGCCUGACGGAGCAACGCCGCGUGAGUGAUGAAGGUCUUCGGAUCGUAAAACUCUGUUAUUAGGAAAGAACAUAUGUGUAAGUAACUGUGCACAUCUUGACGGUACCUAAUCAGAAAGCCACGGCUAACUACGUG